AACGAACGCUGGCGGCAGGCUUAACACAUGCAAGUCGAGCGCCCCGCAAGGGGAGCGGCAGACGGGUGAGUAACGCGUGGGAAUCUACCCAUCACUACGGAACAACUCCGGGAAACUGGAGCUGAUACCGUAUACGUCCUUCGGGAGAAAGAUUUAUCGGUGAUGGAUGAGCCCGCGUUGGAUUAGCUAGUUGGUGGGGUAAUGGCCUACCAAGGCGACGAUCCAUAGCUGGUCUGAGAGGAUGAUCAGCCACACUGGGACUGAGACACGGCCCAGACUCCUACGGGAGGCAGCAGUGGGGAAUAUUGGACAAUGGGCGAAAGCCUGAUCCAGCCAUGCCGCGUGAGUGAUGAAGGCCCUAGGGUUGUAAAGCUCUUUCACCGGUGAAGAUAAUGACGGUAACCGGAGAAGAAGCCCCGGCUAACUUCGUGCCAGCAGCCGCGGUAAAAC
rnacentral:rRNA from 1 species